rnacentral:rRNA from 1 species
GAUGCGUAGCCGAACUGAGAGGUUGAUCGGCCACAUUGGGACUGAGACACGGCCCAAACUCCUACGGGAGGCAGCAGUAGGGAAUCUUCCACAAUGGGCGAAAGCCUGAUGGAGCAACGCCGCGUGGGUGAAGAAGGUCUUCGGAUCGUAAAACCCUGUUGUUAGAGAAGAAAGUGCGUGAGAGUAACUGUUCACGUUUCGACGGUAUCUAACCAGAAAGCCACGGCUAACUACGUGCCAGCAGCCGCGGUAAUACGUAGGUGGCAAGCGUUAUCCGGAUUUAUUGGGCGUAAAGGGAACGCAGGCGGUCUUUUAAGUCUGAUGUGAAAGCCUUCGGCUUAACCGGAGUAGUGCAUUGGAAACUGGGAGACUUGAGUGCAGAAGAGGAGAGUGGAACUCCAUGUGUAGCGGUGAAAUGCGUAGAUAUAUGGAAGAACACCAGUGGCGAAAGCGGCUCUCUGGUCUGUAACUGACGCUGAGGUUCGAAAGCGUGGGUA